ACCUCCAAAAUGUGCUGGCCAGACAACCUGCCACAGAAGAAGCAGUACUGACACCGUUAGAGUGCACUUCCCCACGCCUGUGUGCUGCUCUGGAGUAGAAACCUGUCAGGGCCUGGGCUAGUCAACUGCCUUGCCAAGUGGAUUACACGUUCCAGAAUAAUUUUUAUGAUAUAAUAAUGCUGGGUUCCUGACCGUGUGUUUCCCUGCAGCUCCCAUCUGAGUUACCCCAGGGAAGAAUCUGGGAUGCAGCUUGUCCACGAUGACAGGCUCUGCCCUGCCAGGUGACCGACGAAGCAAAGAGAGCCUCUGUUUCCUUCCACAUGCUUUCAGCUCCUGCAAUAGCUGUCGUUACUGAAGCCCACUGUCAUAACACCACGCAAAGCUGGCAUGUGGGAGAGCAGCCCCCAGCCUCUCUCUGUGCCCUUCAUCUUGGAGAAUUUAGGAACAAAGCAACUGACACGGAGAGAAAAGACUUGCGGUAUGUCUGUAGUGUGAUUGGCAUUUCUUUUUGUGAAAUCUCAGGAGGUGAAAGUCAUACUAAAUGUGCGUGACACAACUGAAAUACAAAAUAAGC